CCUUAGGUUUAAAUUAUAAGGUUUAACCUGCCCAAUGAGUAAUUUAAUGGCCGCAGUAUUUUGACUGUGCAAAGGUAGCAUAAUCAUUAGUUUUUUAAUUGAAAACUGGAAUGAAAGGUUGGACGAAAAAAUAGCUGUCUCUUUAUAAUUUAAUUAGAAUUUUAUUUUUAAGUUAAAAAGCUUAAAUAUUUUUAAAAGACGAGAAGACCCUAUAGAGUUUUAUUAAUAUAAAAUUAUUUUUUUGUUUUUAAAUUUUAAAAUAUUAUUGUUGUAUUAAUUUAAUUGGGGUGAUUAAAAAAUUUAAUAAACUUUUUUUUUGUUUUAACAUUAAUUUAUGUUUUUUUGAUCCAUUAUUAUGAUUAAAAGAAUAAAUUACCUUAGGGAUAACAGCAUAAUUUCUUUUAAGAGUUCUAAUCGAUUAAGAAGUUUGUGACCUCGAUGUUGGAUUAAAAUUAAUUUUUGGUGGAGAAACUAAAAUAUUAGGUCUGUUCGACCUUUAAAAUUUUACAUGAUCUGAGUUUAGACCGGUGUAAGCCAGGUCGGUUUCUAUCUUUAAAUUUAUUAUUAUAUUUUAGUACGAAAGGACCAAUUAUAAUAAAAAUUUUAUUAAAAUGAUUAAUAAUAAUGGACUA
rnacentral:rRNA from 1 species